AAGUCGUAACAAGGUCUCCGUAGGUGAACCUGCGGAGGGAUCAUUAACACGUAUCCAACACGUUUCAAACCCAAACCGUGAACUUCUCUCCUCAUAGGAUAGCGUCGAUUAGCCACCCACCCGGGAGGAUUGGAGGAUUGUGGAGGUGGUGCCCUUUCGGGUAUCAUCUUCUGCCUUCUCUGAUGGCGAUCGUAGGGCUUCGAGCCCCAGCGUUAUUCUAUGGGCGUAUCUCAAAGCCACCCGGACCCUUUUAUACGUUUUAUAAUUUUUUUCAAUUUUUAUAAAACACCCCUUCUUAAUCUUCUACUGAUUCUUCUCUUUGAUUAGAAAUAAUCAAGAGAUCUUACGAAACACGUACAACUCUUAGCAACGGAUAUCUUGGUUCUC
rnacentral:misc_RNA from 1 species